UGAAAAGUGAAUGAUUCAGUCACCCUUGC
rnacentral:piRNA from 1 species